rnacentral:rRNA from 1 species
GAUUAAGCCACGCAUGUGUAAGUAUAAAUAAUUCUACUUUGAAACUGCGAAUGGCUCAUUAUAUCAGUUAUAGUUUAUUAGAAAAAAUGUACUACUUGGAUAACCGUAGUAAUUCUAGGGCUAAUACAUGAGUAAAUCCUCGACUUUGAAGAGGUGUGUUUAUUAGUAUGAAAACCAUAUGCUUCGGCAUGAUAGUGAGUAAUAAUAACCUUUCGUAUCGUAUGUUGAAAUAACGAUAGUUCUUUCAAGUUUCUGCCCUAUCAGCUUUCGAUGGUAGUGUAUUGGACUACCAUG